CCUACGGGGGGCAGCAGUGAGGAAUAUUGGUCAAUGGACGAGAGUCUGAACCAGCCAAGUAGCGUGAAGGAUGACUGCCCUAUGGGUUGUAAACUUCUUUUAUAUGGGAAUAACAUGUUCCACGUGUGGGAUUUUGUAUGUACCAUAUGAAUAAGGAUCGGCUAACUCCGUGCCAGCAGCCGCGGUAAUACGGAGGAUCCGAGCGUUAUCCGGAUUUAUUGGGUUUAAGGGGAGCGUAGGUGGAUUGUUAAGUCAGUUGUGAAAGUUUGCGGCUCAACCGUAAAAUUGCAGUUGAAACUGGCAGUCUUGAGUACAGUAGAGGUGGGCGGAAUUCGUGGUGUAGCGGUGAAAUGCUUAGAUAUCACGAAGAACUCCGAUUGCGAAGGCAGUUCACUGGACUGCAACUGACACUGAGGCUCGAAAGUGUGAGUAUCAAACAGGAUUAGAUACCCCAGUAGUC
rnacentral:rRNA from 1 species